AUGUUUCACAUCACUUUUUUUGUUUUUGGACAGGGUCUCUCUCUGUUGCUGCCCAGGCUGGAGUGCACUGGCAUGAACACAGCUCACUGUAGCCUUGACUUCAGGGGCUCAAAGGGUCCUCCCACCUCAGCCUACGGAAUGGCUGGGACUACAGGCAGACAGGGUGUCCCUAUGUUGUCCAGUCUGGUCUUGAAUUCCUGGGAUUACGAGAUCCUCCUGCCUUGGCCUCCCAAAGUGCUGGGAACACCUGGCCUGAGACACUGCCUGGUCAGUUUUUUUUUCUGUAGAGACAGGGGUCUCAUUGUGUUGCCUAGGCUGUCAAAUCAUUUUUCAUUCCAUUGCUGCCACCAGGACCCAGGCCUCAAUGACCUCUUAUUCCUGAUUGUCCUUCCAGCUCUCCCAGUCUCUGCCCUGCCUAUUCCAUAUCUAUGCACCACUGCCAUUCUAGAGCAGUGCUUAUUUAUGCAGAUAAUCCACUGAAACACCAUGUGGAACAGAGUCUAGAGUCCUUGACCUGGAACUUCAGGUCCCACACUCCCACCCUGGUUUUCCAUUCUUACCUCCUAACGUGCUCAUAUGUGAACCUUAUGGAUUACUUGCCAUGACCUGAAUACGUGUGUGUGUGUGUGUGUGUGUGUGUGUGACAGAGUCUCACUCUGUUGCCAGGGCUGCAGUGCAGUGGUGCAAUCUUGACUCACCGCAACCUCCGCAUCCUGGGUUCAAGCAAUUAUCAUGCCUCAGCCUCCCAAGUAGCUGGGACUUACAGGCAUUCAGCACCAUGCCCAGCUAAUUUUUGUAUUUUUAGUAGAGAUGGAGCUUCACCAUGUUGACCAGGCUGGUCUCAAACUCCUGACCUCAAGUGAUUUGCCUGCCACCCAAAGUGCUAGGAUUAUAUGCAUGAGACACCAUACACAGGAUCUGAAUACCUUUGAUGCUUUCACUUUCUUCAAAGAUCCCAAGUUCCUAUGUCACUUAAAGUGUCAUAUGAGUGCUAGGAAGUGUUAAUAAACAUCCAAAAGAGCCUGGGAUAAACA
rnacentral:lncRNA from 13 species